rnacentral:lncRNA from 10 species
CUGGGCUUGGUCCCUGGCAGCAGGCAUCUGGGGCAUGUAGCUGCCUCUUCAGCUGUCCUGCCAACAGAAGAAACUUACCUCCCAUCAUCUCCCUGAGUGCCUGCCUCAGCCGCCUUGUAUGUAUUCAUUGCUGUGUCUAUAAUAAAUCAGCGGGUCCUUGCUGGAAGCUUGGACGUUUCAAUGGAGAGCUUUCCAAACACCUACAGCACCCUUUUGAAUGCAACUGGAAGUAUUGGUGCCUCAGGAGCUACACAAGCCUGAACCACCUGCUACUUACCAGAUUCUGGGAAAUCCAACAUCAAGGUGCCAGCUGAAAAGUUUCCUGGUGAGGGCACUAGCUCUGGUUUGCAGAUGGCCACCUUCUUGCUUCUGGACAACUCAAACUUGCACCACCAAGCCCUUGCCAGAUGGCAGAAAGCAGGGCAUUGGAAGGUAUUUCCUCCCUGUUGAGUACCAGCUCCACUUCACCAGCCAACCCAUGAGACAGUGUUCUACAAUGCCACAAAGACAAAUAGCCACAUGCGUCUCCCAUGUACCCGGAUACCACCUUGAAGGGAAGGGACAGAACUUUGAAAGAUAUUACAUUUCCUGAAGUUAUCAAAGCAGAGAAAACUGAAUUAUCUGAUGGGACAGUUAAAACUAUUGGAUUGGACUGAAAUGGCAAGAUGGAACUAAGCUUUAGUUCUUUUCCCACAUCCCAGCAAGAAGAAAGUAAAUCAGCUCUUCUAUAGACAAAAUAACAAAGCUCACAUUUUCUCUGUAUACAUAAGGAAAGGUGAGGGAUUUUGGACCCUGAAACAUGAGUUUAUGAAUAUACACAUGCAUACAUCCAUUUGCAUGUGCAUAUGUGGAUAUGCACAUUCACGCACUGUAGACCAAGGCAGAGAAAACUAGGACUUAAGAGUGCAGCCAACAGUGGGCUGCACCUGGCGUGUUCUGGGAUUCUGGUGGCAGAGAAGGAAUACCGGCUUCUUGGGAGCAAAUCCUGACAUACAAGUGUGGGAAAUGCGGCAAAAUGAAACUUGUUGAGCGCUGUUGACAAGACAAUUUUUCUGGGAACUAGUGCAGUCAUUCAGUGAGCCGGCCAGACAGAGCAGAGUUCAUUUCAGAUGUUUCUAUUGUCCCAGACAUGGGAGUUCUACUUGUCACCAUUUGGUGUCAGUAUUUUCUAUCCUAAAAGUCCUCUGGGUUAUAAAGCAAAGGCCCUGUUGGAGAAAGUCUGGAGUAUUUUACUGUGAAUAACUAACUUUAUUUCAGAAAAUUUUAAUAUUCCUUUUAGCCUUCACUGCUUUGUUUUCUGCUUUGUAAUUGUUUUUCUUUGUGCAGAAAAAAGGCAGCAUUCUCUUUAUCUGCAAAGGCAAACAUCAGAAUUACACCAUUCAUUCAUUUGACCAACAAAUCUUGAGGACCAGCAUCUUGUAACACAAGUCCCUCCACCUACAGAGCUUUUCGGAUUCUAGAGGGCAACAUGCUCAGGGCAGAGGCAGGUGUUGGAGGCAGCAGUUCUGUAGAAAGAAAAGCUAGCCCUGGCUUUGAGCCUGGUUUUGCCACUUAGCAGCUAUGUGGCUGUGGGCAAUAAACUUAACCUCUCUGAGCUGCAGUCUCUUCAUACAUAAAACAUACAUAAUAAACACUUUUCUUCCAAUUUUAUCAUGAAAAUUAAAGAAGUUGAGGGAUGCCUAGGCAGAGCACAGGGGAUGUUUAGGGCAGUGAAGCUACUCUGUAUGACACUUAUAAUGGUCAUUAUACGUUUACCCAAACCCAAAAGCGAACCCUCCUGUGUAAACUACAGAAUUUGGGUGGCAAUGAUGUAUCAGCGUAGGCUCACCGAUUCUAACAAAUGUACCACUCUGGUGGGGGACGCUGGGAAUGGGGGAGGCUAUGCAUUUGUAAGGGCACAAGGUGUGUGAGAUAUCUCUUUACCUUCUGCUC